rnacentral:rRNA from 1 species
UACGUAGGUGGCGAGCGUUGUCCGGAAUUACUGGGUGUAAAGCGCGUGUAGGCGGGAGGCCAAGUCUGCGGUGAAAUCGCUCGGCUCAACUGGGCGGGGUCCGGGGAAACUGGUCACCUGGAGGACGGUAGAGGCGAGUGGAAUUCCCGGUGUAGUGGUGAAAUGCGUAGAGAUCGGGAGGAACACCAGUGGCGAAGGCGGCUCGCUGGGCCGGACCUGACGCUGAGACGCGAAGGCGUGGGGAGCGAACGGG